rnacentral:rRNA from 1 species
GACGGAGGAUGCAAGUGUUAUCCGGAAUCACUGGGCGUAAAGCGUCUGUAGGUUGUUUAAUAAGUCAACUGUUAAAUCUUGAGGCUCAACCUCAAACUUGCAGUCGAAACUAUUAGACUAGAGUAUAGUAGGGGUAAAGGGAAUUUCCAGUGGAGCGGUGAAAUGCGUAGAUAUUGGAAAGAACACCGAUGGCGAAGGCACUUUACUGGGCUAUUACUGACACUCAGAGACGAAAGCGAGGGUAGCAAAUGGG